rnacentral:rRNA from 1 species
UACGCACAGCUCAGUAGCACGUGGCUAACCUACCCUUGGGACGGAAGAACCCCCGGGAAACUGGGGCUAAUUUCUGAUAGGUGAAGAUACCUGGAAUGGCUCUUCGCCUAAAGGGCGCUUAGGACAUGCUUCUAGGCGUUGCCCAAGGAUGGGGCCGCGGCCGAUCAGGUUGUUGGUGAGGUAACGGCUCACCAAGCCUUUAACCGGUGCGGGCCGUGGGGGCGGAAGCCCGGAGAUGGGCACUGAGACAAGGGCCCAGGCCCUACGGGGCGCAGCAGUCGCGAAAACUUCGCAAUAAGCGAAAGCUUGACGGGGCUAUCCCGAGUGCCAUCCGCUGAGGAUGGCUUUUCCCUAGUAUAGAUAGCUGGGGGAAUAAGGAGAGGGCAAGUCUGGUGUCAGCCGCCGCGGUAAUACCAGCUCUCCGAGUGGUGGGGACGUUUAUUGGGCCUAAAGCAUCCGUAGCCGGCUGGGUAAGUCCCCUGUUAAACCCAGCGACUUAAUCGUUGGUCUGCGGGGGAUACUACUCGGCUAGGGGGCGAGAGAGGCCGUCGGUAUUCCCGGGGUAGGGGUGAAAUCCUAUAAUCCCGGGAGGACCACCAGUGGCGAAGGCUGUCGGCUAGAACGCGCCCGACGGUGAGGGAUGAAAGCUGGGGGAGCGAACCGGAUUAGAUACCCGGGUAGUCCCAGCUGUAAACGAUGCAGGCUAGGUGUUAGGGCGACCACGUGCCGCUCUAGUGCCGCAGGGAAGCUGUUAAGCCUGCCGCCUGGGGUUACGCCUGGAAGGCUGAACUUAAAGGCA